GAUCAAUGAUGAAAUGGCCAAAUCUGAAUAUCACAAGACAUUCCAGUCUACCAAUACAUGAUCUCUACAGUUUUGAGA